ensembl:lncRNA
CUCAGAUAAGGGAUGUACUUGGAUAUUUAAUCCUCCACACUCGUCUCAUAUGGGUGGUUCUUGGGAGAGACUCAUUGGGGUUGCCAGACGUAUUCUUGAUGCUAUGCUGUUUCAGACGGGCUCCACUCGUCUCACACAUGAGGUCUUGAGCACUCUUAUGUCUGAAGUUAUGGCAAUAAUCAAUGCGAGACCCUUAGUGUCAGUAUCAACCGACCCUGACAUGCCUACCAUUCUCACACCCUCAAUGUUACUUACACAAAAGACCAGCGCUACCUCAGCCCCUUCUGGAUACUUCAGCAUGAACGACCUUCAUGGAAAACAGUGGAAGCAAGUCCAGUGUCUCGCUGACACCUUUUGGAAAAGGUGGAGACAGGAGUACCUGACAACGCUGCAGAGACGCAGAAAAUGGACUGCAGAAAAGCCAAAUGUAAAAGUGGGAGAUGUUGUCUUAUUGAAAGACAGUCAGGCACACAGAAAUGACUGGCCAGUCGGGCUUGUGGUAAAAACCUUUCCCAGUACUGACAAAAAGGUUAGGAAAGUAGAACUAAAAAUUGUCAAGCAAGGAGCUGCUAAGGUGUUUCUGAGACCAAUCUCAGAGAUUGUUGUUCUUCUUUCUGAAGCAUCCUAGAGACAAAAGAUAAAAAUAGAAAGGACAUUAUUUGUUUCUUGAUAUGUUUUAUUUCAUAGUGGCACAAUUUCAUUAUGCCAGGCGGGGAGUGUGCUGCCAUCCUGUUAGAAGGUAACAGAUUAUUUUAUUACAAUGGUUAAAUUGGAUUUUCAUUGUGUUCAAUGGUGUUAUUUGCCCCCUAGUGGCGCUUUCUGGUACUUAGAAAGACGACGCAAACAGGAAGUACAGAAUUUGUUUUGCACGCAUAGAAGCAGCUACAAACAACGCUACGGUGCAGGUCUUUCAAUGUAGUUAUUUCUUGUCACGCUUCAGCCUUGGAAACAUAUUUGUUUUUUCACAACAUAAACGUUUUCAAUAUAUUCAUUCAAGAAAAGUCACGCCUUGGGAGUUUUAUUGAAGACUUAGUUGUUAGCUAUCUGUCUAGUUUUGCAUGGGAACCCAACUCAAGGACAGAAUAUCCCCACAGUAUGAUUCUGCCACCACCAUGCUUCACCGUAGGGAUGGUGCAAGGUUUCCUCCAGAUGUGACGCUUGGCAUUCAGGUCAAAUAGUUCAAUCGAGUUGGCCCGAGAAUUGAACCCUGUGGCACCUCCAUAGAGAUUGCCAGAGGUCCGGACAAUAGGCCCUCCGAUAUGACACACUGAACUCUAUCUGAGAAGUAGUUGGUAAACCAGACGAGGCCGUCAUUUGAGAAGCCAAGGCUAUUGAGUCUGCCGAUGAGAAUGCAGUGAUUGACAGAGUCGAAAGCCUUGGCCAGGUCGAUGAAGACGGCUGCACAGUACUGUCUUUUAUCGAUGGCAGUUAUGAUAUCG